rnacentral:misc_RNA from 1 species
CAUUUCUUCCAUGUUAAUUUUAUAGACAGGUUUCUUUACCACUUACCACAACAAUUUACUCUGUUCAAGAUCUAUGCAAGUUUGCAUUGGAAAUUGCAUGCUUCUUGUUGUAAGGAAAAAGCUAGUAAUACAAGGCAGGAUGUGUUUUAUUUCCUUAUUUUAAAUUAUUAUUUUUGAAAUUUAGAAUUGAUGAGAAUUAUGGACCCAAGAGUG